GGCAGGGUAGCUCAGCUGGUUAGAGCAGUGCAUUCAUAACGCAAAGAUCGCGGGUUCGAGUCCCGCCCCUGCUAC
rnacentral:tRNA from 1 species